rnacentral:rRNA from 1 species
UAGCGCGGUGGUCCCACCUGAGCCCAUGCCGAACUCAGAAGUGAAACGCCGUAGCGCCGAUGGUAGUGUGGGGUCUCCCCAUGCGAGAGUAGGGAACUGCCAGGC